GGCUGAGCCCCGCCCCGUGCUGAGUCCGCGACGGAGUACCGCGUCCUGAGGUGAACCACAGGAGUCUGGAACACUUGAGCCGGGCUGAGAGUUUUAAACCGGUUGUGGUCUGGUGCUGAACUUCGGAAGGACGUUUGAGAGGUUUUAUGGACUCACGCUCCCCACCCUAUCAGCUGUCCUUGCUGGAGGUGAAACUGUCUUUACAAGGGAGCACAGUGCGUAGUCAUACCGACUGACGGAUGAAGAGACUAUCCCACUACAGUGCUGUGAGAGCAAACCAAACUGCGCCACUUGGCAACUCCUUGCUCAUCUUCAGAGAUCCUCAGGCGCUUCGCAGAUACGCAAGGCUGCAUAAGGAACUGGGUAAACAAUUGUUCAAACAAUGCAUCUGCUGUCUCCUUUCUAAAGGUAAACAGAGGGAUAAAAAUACAAAAUAAAACAAAAAACAGAGUUGCCCCAAAGCAACUCUGACACCAGGCUUAUUUUGUUCCACUAUUUUGAGAAGAGCCAUGCUAUUCUCCUGGCUGCUCAUACUGCAGCUCAUGUGACUUUGGAUUAUAAUACAAUCCUGUCAGAUUCAGUCUUCCAGCAGCUCAUUUUUGGGAGAGCUGACGCUCAGGGUAUGGACCUUGGGUCCAGCUUGGUAGACCUUAUAGCGUGUCUGCUAGUGUCAGGCAGGGCAGUAAUAACACACGAGCGAGCUCUCUGUAAUUCCCAACUGUGCCGUCCUUUACUGGGGUGUGGAGAGCAUGUGAGGAUAGCAGAACCAACCCAGGAAACUCUGAGAAAGAAUGAAAAAGAAUGGCUGUAUUGUGUGGGGUUAGGCUGGGGUGAUCAGUGCAACAAAAUGUUUGUUUCAAGUGUUGAAGGCUGUACACUAUGCCGGGGGCUUCAAGUGUUGAAGGCUGUACACUAUGCCGGGUGUUUCAAGUGUUGAAGGCUGUCACUAUGCUGGGUGUUGGAGGCAGCUCCACAGCCCUGGGUGUCUUAUUGUAGGGGACCCAAAAUAGAGGGACUAAGGAAAAAUAAGUCGUUUGUUUCAUUAAUUUUCAAGUUGCUUGCCUACAAAUGUCUUCGUGAAUUUCAAGAAUUGUAUUAUACCCAGAGAAGUUUGUGUGUGUGUGUGUGUGUGUGUGUGUGUGUGUGUGUGUGUGUGUGUGCGCGCGCGGUUCAUGUGUGUUGGGGAGGUCUUGGCUCUCCCAAACUGUUUCAUUAACUCCAGGAGCCCUUUGCUACCUAGUAGGUCAUGAAUAAAUAACAUUUGCAUGUUUAAUAAUACUAAUGUGUAUCUUUCUUGAACUCAGUACAUAGAAAGAUCUGAUACACUUUCUCUUCUAGCAAUAGUACAUGCUUGUUAUAUGCCUAUACCAUUCUUUCCUCUUUUACUAGAGAAACCAACUGUCAAGAGAAAUUAAGACAUUAAAGUUACCCAGGUGGCCUUGAAAGGGGGCCCAGAAAUAAGCGCCUAACUUCCGUCCUAACGGUCAUUUUGUCCUAUUCACAGCUGCCCUGAAAUCUCAAUUCUUGUUUGUUUCUUGGAUGGAAAUUUCCGUUUUAAAAGCCAGAAAAAAAAAAAGAUACCGUAAGCAGAUUAAUUUAGGCCUUAACAUCCUGCCCGAUCUCCCUCCAGUCCUUCACUGACAUUCUUCCCCCAGAUCCCUCUAGAAAAUGACCAGCAUGUUUGCUGUAAAGAAUUUUAGCUAGUAUCAUCCAACAUCAAAGGCUGAGAAUAGUAGACAAUGUUUGUUUUUACCCUCUGUAUGGAAUGUAUUGUCAAUCAAGAUAUCCCCAGCUUCCCAGUGGAUUUAGGUGUAAUCAAAGACCAGCACACACACACACACACACACACACACACACACACACACACACUUCCACCAACACCACCAUCAACACCACCAACACCACCACCACCAACAACAAAACCCCACAGGAAGACCCUCCUAAGCAUUAUCUGGCAUAAAGAUUUUCUAAACCUGGAGCUAUUAAUGAGCGCCUGAGACCAGAGGAACCACAGUGGGGUUAUCACCAUUAUUUUAAACCACACUUUUAGCUGAGACCCUCAUUUAGAAAAUGUAAUGAAAUUCAAGGUUGCUUUGAAGUACUCCCAGGAAUCUCUGUGGACAUGGGCAUGCUUGCUCCUCCCAUACAAAGACACAGCACUAACCAUCUUCUUCAAAUAAUCCUGACAAAACUACAUUUGGCUCUUAAGACACUUUAGACGUGCUCAGUGGUCUACAGGUAGAAGAGAUCAGUGAAACACAAUAUCAAACAACCCAAAUUAUGACAACCGCAUUUCCAGACAUCAGCGUCUUUAGCCAGGUGUUUAAAAAUAAUCUCAAAAAUAUUCCAUAUAAAUUAUUUCCUCUAUUGCUUGCUCUUUGGAAAAAGAAGAAGCUUGGGAGACUGAUUUAAAAUCCAGGGCUUACACCAGAUAUGUCUGCAUGGGUCGGAACAGUGAGGCGUUAGGAAAACAAAACCCCAAAACCAAAUCUUCCUGACUGUUGCUCUUUCCCAUUUAAAGAGAUCACUUUGAGACAGGAUGAGGAUAGAGAAGAGUGCUUCAUUUGCUUCUUUCCAUCACCCCUCAAGUGCACGUAAUUGGUUAAUUGAGUGUUAAAGGAGGGCCUGGCUGGUAGAAGGUGCGGAAGGGCAGGAGCUGUGCCCUUCUGUGAGUUCCUGUUUUGUCCCCACAUGGUGCCUGCUAGUUUGCAGCGUGAAAGGGUGCUCCGUACCUCUGAUUUGCCCAUGGAGGCGAUGCACACAUGGGAAGCAGUUACAGAUGGAAGAAACACACGGACACAUCUGUUUACUCUGGGUCUACGUAAAUCCCCUGGUAAUUAGCAUCUUAACCAGCCAAGAGGGAAGUGGACCAACAGUGUGGCGUGCAUUGAGGGCUUUGAAAACAAACCAGCGACCUUACACGUGUCUAUAAGCAGAAAUGGCUCUUACAAUUUGUAACUGUUGCACCAUUUCUUCUCGGUAAGCCAGCUCCCUUUUCAUCUGAUCCUGGAAGUUAUCUGGGGAAGAGAGAGACAGAAAGGAAAUUAAUGCAAGUGCAGAAUCCAUAUGUAGUAUGCAGUUGGUCCUCCAAAUCCUAGACUCCUGGUGCUGUGGAUUGAACCAACCUCAGAUCAACAACAUGACACUGGAUCGGUAACAAGGAAGAUGGAGUAACAUCCACCCACAUCUGCCUGUAUCAGUGAUGCAGACACCCACAGCAGGGUCUCUAAAUCCCUCUAUACUGAGAACCCCGCAGGACCUCUUUUCACCUGAGAAACUUUUGUGACCCACGGAUGUAGGUAUAUAAAAUAGGUAGACAAGCCAAAUACUGAUGAUAUAUAAAUAUAUAAAUCAUAAAGAAGUUUAUUUUAAAACAACUCUGUUGUAUAUAUCUAACUUCACAAUUUAUUAGUGACAAAAUCAAACCUGCCACACAGGUAGAUAUAUGUGCUGGCCUAACUUUAUGUAGAGUCAAAUGUUGGCAGAUACUAUAUGAUAUAUAUAUAUACUAUUUGAUACUAUAUGAUAUCUUCAGCAUUUUUUCAUUUGACUGAUAUUCUGAUCUUAUAAUUAUCAAUACUGAGAAUGUGGUUUUUACAUAAACAUGGACCACAAAAUGGCAGAUGUAUGCUUAGGAAAUUGUUGGAAAUUCUAUCCUAAUCCCAAGCCAAAAUUCAUUUAUUUACUAUUUUAGGAAACCCAAGUCAGCAACUCAAACAAGCAAUUUUUAAAAACCAAACAUCCUUACACAAUAUAAUCAAAAGGCACAUUACAUUGAUCUUUAUAUGAUGGAGAAUGAUGAUAGGGGUGUAUAAAAAAGUGCUCAGGUUCCUGGAAAGAUGCCUUAGAGGUUAAAGGCACCGACUGCUCCUUCAGAGGCCCUGGGCUCAAUCCCUAGCAGUCACGUGGCAGCUCACAACUGUCUGUAAUUUCAGUUCAAGGGGAUCGCACACCUUCUGGCCCCCACUGGCAGUUGAUAUGCAGUGCAUAGACAUAUAUGUAGGUGAAAUACCCAUAUAUGUAAAAAAUAAAUAAAAAAUUUCUGUAACUAAACCAUUUUGCUUAAAGAGCCAAAACUUCAUAUGGUAAUUAUGAAAUUCAGAACAGGCAGUCCCAGAGCCGAGGUGUUCCUGUAGCGUUCCUUGGCGCUGCAUGACUUCGCUAGCGGUAGUGGCUGAGUCAUGCUGCAUGACAAGGGCAAGUCCCGCCCCCAAAGCCUUGGAUUCAUUAUACACUUGAUUUUGAAUUAACUUUUGCUCAUUUAAUGUUCAGAAACCUUUUACUGUUGCUCCAAAUCGCAUGACUCACUCGCUCACGUAUGUGGCCCCGAGUGAGGGUUGUGACUGACGGUUUGCUGUAGUAGGUGUAGACUAAAGCAUGCAGGAGGAUUAUCCACGGUUAUAUGAGAGCACUAGGCAAUGCUCUGUGACACUGGCACCGCCACGGACUUUUGUUGUCUGCAGAGGGUUCUGGAGCCAAUCCGCCAUGGGUACGGAAGGAUGAGUACAUCUGAAAAAAUAUGACUGACAGCACCCUAGAGUCUGCUACCCCCUUUAGGCCGCUCCUGACCUCUCCCCUUCUGUUUCCUUUUCCUAUCUCACUGGAUAGCCCUGGCUAGUCUGGAACUCUCUCAGUAGAUCAGGCUGACCUCAAACUGUUGUUGAUAUUUCUGCCUCUCAAGGGCGGGGGUUGCAGACACAUGCCACAAGUCUGUUGCUUUUCUUUCCUUGUAAGCAAACAAUUUAGUUAUUUGAAGAUAUAUUCUCAACACUGUAACUUGAUUAGACUGCACAGGAAAUUCUGAGACGUAAGAGCAGGUCAUUCCUUUAACAGUACCGCAUCCUCCAUCGUGUCUAUUUCCUUGCAUGUAAGAAUCACCCAGAAAUGAGCAGUGCAGUUGGGUCCUCUACUUAUGCAAGGUACAGCGUGGAAGGCACCUACAGUCUGCAGCUACAGCUACAGUGGAAGGGACGCAGGUCAUAGGGCGCGAACCAUAGGGAGUGCUGAGAGCUGUGUAAGACAGGGAGAAUGCUCGCCCUGCUCCUGUGCACCUUAGCGCUCUUGUACUCCAGUCUGACUCUACAAAGGCGGCGAGCCUUCUCACCCAUGCCAGCCUUGCUGUGGUCCUCUUUGGUCUCAUGAGUGCUAUAGACUUGGCCACAAUCCGAGGAAAGGGGAGCUGUGAGAGACACUGCUACAAAGUCAGGUGGAGGUGGCACGCACUACAACCACACCUUUAAUCCCAGCACUCGGAAGGCAGGGGCAGACAGAUCUCUAUGAGUUUGAGGCCAGCCUGGGCUACACAGCGAGUUCCACCUCCUCUCCCUCCACCUCCUCUCCCUCCACCUCCUCUCCCUCCACCUCCUCUCCCUCCACCUCCUCUCCCUCCACCUCCUUUUCCCCCACCCUCCUCUCUGUCCACCUCC